GACGAACGCUGGCGGCGUGCUUAACACAUGCAAGUCGAACGGAAAGGCCCUGCUUUUGUGGGGUGCUCGAGUGGCGAACGGGUGAGUAACACGUGAGUAUCCUGCCCUUGACUUUGGGAUAACUUCAGGAAACUGGGGCUAAUACCGGAUAGGAGCUCCUGCUGCAUGGUGGGGGUUGGAAAGUUUCGGCGGUUGGGGAUGGACUCGCGGCUUAUCAGCUUGUUGGUGGGGUAGUGGCUUACCAAGGCUUUGACGGGUAGCCGGCCUGAGAGGGUGACCGGCCACAUUGGGACUGAGAUACGGCCCAGACUCCUACGGGAGGCAGCAGUGGGGAAUAUUGCACAAUGGGCGGAAGCCUGAUGCAGCAACGCCGCGUGCGGGAUGACGGCCUUCGGGUUGUAAACCGCUUUCGCCUGUGACGAAGCGUGAGUGACGGUAGUGGGUAAAGAAGCACCGGCUAACUACGUG
rnacentral:rRNA from 1 species